rnacentral:tRNA from 1 species
UCCCAGCUGGCUCAGUGGUAAAGAAUCUGCCUGCAAUGCAGGAGACCUGGGUUCGAUCCCUGGGUCAGGAA